GGCGGCAUAGCUCAGUUGGGAGAGCAGCAGACUGAAGUCGUUCGGUAAAUCUGAAGGUCCGGUGUUCAAGCCACCGUGCUGCCA